UGCCAGGUUUUGAGUCAGGGGAUGAAGGUUACAAUCCUGAAUCUAAUGCUUUUCAUUUUUGUAAUGUCUAAAUUACAAGGAAAUUAAAAGAAAAAAAUAGGAAUAUGGGCCUCUGUUUUAAUGCCAGAAACAGACUUUGUGCCUUGAUGAAUGAACUCUGCCAGAGCUUUAAGACUUUGAUCCUUAUGUAUCUCUUUAGCUAAUAAUGAGAAUUGUAACUUCCUAACAGGCAAUUACUAUGUUUAAUGAUCCCAAAUAAUAGAUGUGGAAUUAGAAGUGGCACAUAAUACCCUGCUAUCCAUCAGCUUCCAUCCUGGAAUCCCUCAAAAUGAGAGAGUAUUUUGAACACACAUUAGAAAAUGGAUUUUUCCUAUAGCAAAAGGAAAAGCUGUGAAACCAUCUUCGAAGCUGCUAGACCACUAGAAACUGGAGAACUGCCAUACCACCUCUUCCUCCCAAUCUGAAUGCCAAUUAAGUGAUCUGUCUUGUUCCACUCUCAUCUC